rnacentral:rRNA from 1 species
GACGACGCUGGCGGCGUGCUUAAUACAUGCAAGUCGAGCGAGUUACUGUUUCGGAUCCCUUCGGGGUGAAAGAAGCUUUAACCUAGCGGCGGACGGGUGAGUAACGCGUGGGUAACCUACCCCAAAGUCCGGGAUAACAGCGGGAAACCGCUGCUAAUACCGGAUGCCUUUACCUUGGGGCAUCUUGAGGUAAAGAAAGGUAACGCUUUGGGAUGGGCCCGCGUCCCAUUAGCUAGUUGGUGAGGUAACGGCUCACCAAGGCGACGAUGGGUAGCCGGCCUGAGAGGGUGGACGGCCACACUGGGACUGAGACACGGCCCAGACUCCUACGGGAGGCAGCAGUAGGGAAUAUUGCGCAAUGGACGGAAGUCUGACGCAGCGACGCCGCGUGAGCGAUGAAGGUCUUCGGAUCGUAAAGCUCUGUCCUUGGGGAAGAAGGCGAAAGCUUGACGGUACCCAAGAAGAAAGCCCCCGGCUAACUACGUG